rnacentral:rRNA from 1 species
UACGUAGGUGGCAAGCGUUGUCCGGAUUUACUGGGCGUAAAGAGCGCGCAGGCGGUCGUUCAAGUCGCGUGUGAAAGCCCCCGGCUCAACUGGGGAGGGUCACGCGAUACUGAUCGACUCGAAGGCAGGAGAGGGUAGUGGAAUUCCUGGUGUAGCGGUGAAAUGCGCAGAUAUCAGGAGGAACACCGAUGGCGAAGGCAGGUCUCUGGGCCACUACUGACGCUGAGAAGCGAAAGCAUGGGGAGCGAACAGG